rnacentral:sRNA from 1 species
GGCCAAAGCCGGCUUCCGUGAGACGCAUCUACUUCCGGGUUGCGAACGAAGGGUUGGACGAUCUAUUCCGGUUCGUCCUGGACGCGUUUCCGACCACUUGACACAAGGCAGAAUUAUUUAGGAAGAAGAGGUUCAACUGAGAAAACUCCUCCAUCAGAUUGGCCAGUGAGCAGGUAUGCAAGUAUUUUCCUCACUGAUAGCUGCUACGGGGAGGGCCCCGCCCACAGCGGGAAGGGCCCCGUCCACAGCGGGGAGGGCCAUACCUAGGCAGUUGUCCUGGGUGUAUGAAAAAGCAGGCUAAGCAAGCCAGGAAGGGCAAGCCGGGAAGCAGUACUCCUGCACUGCCCUGCUUCAGUUUCUGCCUCCAGAUUCCUGCUUUGAUCUCCUGCCCGACUUCCCCUGAGGAUGGACUUGUAAUCCAAAUAAACUAUCCACCCUGAUGUGCUUUUGAUGACCCUCUUCAUCAUCGCAAUAGAAAACAAACUGAGACAUAGCUCAUUUGGGAAGUCAAAGAGCAUCAACUGAAAAGUUAAUACAAA